AGCCUUGCGCUCGGGCAAUACAGAGAGCAAUUAGGCUUAGCCAAGCUGCUGUUAUUGCUGAUUGAAAACUUUUACCAAUUACCCGCCUUGGCCUGCGAAAGCGGUACGGUUUUUGCUCAUUAUGGUAGCAAAACUGGUCACGAUUUUAUUUUUAAUUAAAAUAAAUUU
rnacentral:snRNA from 1 species